rnacentral:tRNA from 1 species
GCGCCCGUAGCUCAGGGGAUAGAGCACUGGCCUCCGGAGCCAGGAGCACAGGUUCGAUUCCUGUCGGGCGCACCA